UACGUAGGUGACCAGCGUUGUCCGGAUUUACUGGGCGUAAAGAGCGCGCAGGCGGUCGUUCAAGUCGAGUGUGAAAGCCCCCGGCUCAACUGGGGAGGGUCAUUCGAUACUGAUCGACUUGAAGGCAGGAGAGGGAAGUGGAAUUCCCGGUGUAGUGGUGAAAUGCGUAGAUAUCGGGAACGGAACACCAGUGGCGAAGG
rnacentral:rRNA from 1 species